GGGCGGAAUGCUACCAGUGAAGGAGUUAAAAGCAAGGUCUAGGACAUUUAGUUGAAGAGAGAACAAGGCAGGGAAGGCACCACAGAAAUUAUUUUGUUGGAGGUAUAGGUAUUGAAGGGAAGGAAUGGAGGGAAUAUCAGAAGGAAGAUUUCCGUUAAGGUUGUUGGAUCGUAGGCUGAGGAUCCUAAGAGCAUCAAGCCUUCCUAUGGUCUUGGCUGGGAUAGGGCCAUAGAGUCCAACACCUGGAAGAUGGACAGCGAUCACACGGGUUCCGUUUGAAUUACACGAAAU
rnacentral:misc_RNA from 1 species